UGUAAACUUCUUUUGUACGGGAAGAAACACUUCUACUUGUAGAAGCUUGACGGUACCGUACGAAUAAGCAUCGGCUAACUCCGUGCCAGCAGCCGCGGUAAUACGGAGGAUGCAAACGUUAUCCGGAUUUAUUGGGUUUAAAGGGUACGUAGGCGGGAAAUUAAGUCAGUGGUGAAAUCCUGCAGCUCAACCGUAGAACUGUCAUUGAUACUGGUUUCCUUGAAUGUAGUUGAGGUAGGCGGAAUGUGUAAUGUAGCGGUGAAAUGCUUAGAUAUUACACAGAACACCGAUUGCGAAGGCAGCUUACUAAACUACGAUUGACGCCGAGGUACGAAAGCGUGGGGAGCGAACAGGAUUAGAUACCCUGGUAGUCCACGCUGUAAACGAUGAUCACUCGUUGUUGGCGAUAUACUGUCAGCGACUGAGCGAAAGCAUUAAGUGAUCCACCUGGGGAGUACGACCGCAAGGUUGAAACUCAAAGGAAUUGACGGGGGCCCGCACAAGCGGAGGAACAUGUGGUUUAAUUCGAUGAUACGCGAGGAACCUUACCUGGGCUUAAAUGCAGAACGACGGACCGGGAAACUGGUCUUUCUUCGGACGGACUGCAAGGUGCUGCAUGGCUGUCGUCAGCUCGUGCCGUGAGGUGUCGGGUUAAGUCCCAUAACGAGCGCAACCCUCAUCAUUAGUUGCCAGCGGGUAAUGCCGGGGACUCUAAUGAAACUGCCGGUGUAAACCGAGAGGAAGGUGGGGAUGACGUCAAGUCAGCACGGCCCUUAUGUCCAGGGCUACACACGUGUUACAAUGGUCGGUACAAAGGGCAGCUACCUGGCAACAGGAUGCUAAUCUCGAAAACCGAUCUUAGUUCGGAUCGAAGUCUGCAACUCGACUUCGUGAAGCUGGAUUCG
rnacentral:rRNA from 1 species